UUCUUCAUCUUGGGAAGAGAAAUGAUUUAUUUCUUACAAACUUCAGCACCCAAAAACUUCAACACCACCUUGUACACUAUCGAAGAACAAUUAUUCAGCUCAAAUACAUAUACGUAUAAGUAAAAAUUGACCAAUUAUAUCUCAAUGUUGUGAUAAUCUUCCCCAAGCUUACAGAGUAGAACCAAGAAACAUGGAUGCAGAAAUGAUCAAAUAUAAGUUUAGAUCAUCAAAUUGAUGCCAUCAGAAAUUUAAAUAUAUAACACAGCCAGCAAAACAAGAUGGUUCAUCUGUGUACUUGUUAAUGUGUUCCCAAGAUAAUGCGCUAUAUCUCAAUGAUGUGAUAAUCUUCCCCAAGCUUACAGAGAAGAAUCAAGAAAUAUGGAUGCAGAAAUGAUCAAAUAUAAGUUUAAAUCAUCAAAUUGAUGCCAUCAGCAGUUUAAAUAUAUAACACAACCAACAAAACAUGAUGGUUCAUGUGGGUACUCAUUAAUUUGUUCACAGGAUGAUACGCUAUAAUAAAUAGUUGAUAAAAAAACACAAGAAUAAAGAAAGUAGAGN
rnacentral:lncRNA from 1 species